AAUAUAGUGCCUGAUUUAAAAGGAUAGCUUUGAUAGAGCUAAUUAUGUAUGCCCAUAUACCUAUAUUA
rnacentral:tRNA from 1 species